ACAAAAACAUCUCUUUUUGACACAUAAAAAGUACCGUCUGCUCAAUGCAAUUUGUAAAUAGCCGCAGUAUUCUGACUGUGCUAAGGUAGCAUAAUCAUUAGUCUUUUAAUUGAAGGCUGGUAUGAAUGACGAGACGAGAAAAUAGCUGUCUCUAAAAUAAAUCUUGAAUUUUAUUUCUAAGUGAAAAAGCUUAGAUAAUUUUAAAGGACGAUCAGACCCUUUGGAGCUUUAUUUAUUUUAAAUUUUAAUUUAUUUUAGAUUAUUGAAUGAAUAAUAAAUUUUGUUGGGGCGACAGAGAGUAAUAAAUACCACUCUUUUUUUUAAACAAUUAUAAUUGAAAAAUUGAUCCUUAAAGUAAGAUUAAAAGCCUAAGUUACCCUAGGGAUAACAGCGUAAUCUUCUUGGAGAGUUCAAAUCGAUAAGAAGGUUUGCGACCUCGAUGUUGGAUUAAGAGAUUGACAAGGUGCAGAAGUUUUGUUGGAAAGUCUGUUCGACUUUUAAUUUCUUACAUGAUCUGA
rnacentral:rRNA from 1 species